rnacentral:lncRNA from 1 species
CCCCCCCUUCCAUCUCCUCCUCUCUCAAUCCUUGCAGCCACACCACCAAAUCCUAGCCCCCCCCAUCUCCUCCUCCCAAGGUGCCAUUCCUUGCCGCUCGGAUCGUCGUCGCGUGGUGUGAAUCUUCAAUUGUUUUGGUGGAGGGAAGAAGGGAGGAAGGAAAGGGGGAGAAUCCAAGGUGAUUUUUGUGUUCAUCUCUUGUUCAUUUGUGCUGCAAUCCAAGUGAUUAGAUGUUGCGUAUGCGAUUGGGUAGAGGGGGCUGCCCAGAAUUUUAGGUGGUGGAUGAACAGCAGUAGUUCUAGCAGUUUCUGGUUUUUUUCGUGAGAAAUUAAUGGAAAUCAGUUUGAAGAUCAUGUAGAACUUUGUCUUACCUUUCCAACGAGUAUUUAUGCGCUCAAUUUGGAGUUAUAAAUUGAAAGUUAUCACCGUUUGAAUCCGGGUAUGUGGCUGUCCAAAAAAACAGAUUUUUAGGGGGAUGAACAGCAGCAGUAUUAGCAGUUUCUGGGGAUUUUUCGGGAGUAAUUAGUGUUAAUCAGUAUAAGAAUCAUGAAGGGCUCUUUCUUAUCUUUCCAACAAGUACUUAUGCGCUUGAUUCGGAAUUAUAUUUUAAAAGUUAUCGCUGUUUGAAUCCGAGUAUGUCGCUGCCCAAAACAGGAAAAAACAGAUUGCAGGGUUUAUUUUGUGGACCGUUUAGGGGUAAUUAGAUUUUAGAAUUUAACCAUAAAUUGUAUACAAAACUUGUGGGGAAUUUUAUGUAGUUGUCUCUGGAGUUUUUGUUUGACACCACUGCUGUCUUAAUUUUAAAGUUAUGGAAUUGUUAAGCAGCGCCGCUGCAGUUUGGUUGGUGUGGGGAGAAUUGUUACCCGCGGUNNNNNNNNNNNNNNNNNNNNNNNNNNNNNNNNNNNNNNNNNNNNNNNNNNNNNNNNNNNNNNNNNNNNNNNNNNNNNNNNNNNNNNNNNNNNNNNNNNNNGGUAGAGGGGGUGCCCAGAAUUUUAGGUGGUGGAUGAACAGCAGUAGUUCUAGCAGUUUCUGGUUUUUUUCGUGAGAAAUUAAUGGAAAUCAGUUUGAAGAUCAUGUAGAACUUUGUCUUACCUUUCCAACGAGUAUUUAUGCGCUCAAUUUGGAGUUAUAAAUUGAAAGUUAUCACCGUUUGAAUCCGGGUAUGUGGCUGUCCAAAAAAACAGAUUUUUAGGGGGAUGAACAGCAGCAGUAUUAGCAGUUUCUGGGGAUUUUUCGGGAGUAAUUAGUGUUAAUCAGUAUAAGAAUCAUGAAGGGCUCUUUCUUAUCUUUCCAACAAGUACUUAUGCGCUUGAUUCGGAAUUAUAUUUUAAAAGUUAUCGCUGUUUGAAUCCGAGUAUGUCGCUGCCCAAAACAGGAAAAAACAGAUUGCAGGGUUUAUUUUGUGGACCGUUUAGGGGUAAUUAGAUUUUAGAAUUUAACCAUAAAUUGUAUACAAAACUUGUGGGGAAUUUUAUGUAGUUGUCUCUGGAGUUUUUGUUUGACACCACUGCUGUCUUAAUUUUAAAGUUAUGGAAUUGUUAAGCAGCGCCGCUGCAGUUUGGUUGGUGUGGGGAGAAUUGUUACCCGCGGCGGGGUUUGAGAUUGCGCGUAGGUGCGGCGUUGUUUUGAGGCUUUUUAUGUGAAUUUGGUGCACUAAGUUGGGUGUCAAAAACAGGUGGUGGACUUCCGGAUCAUUCUUAGGGAUUUGCCCAAACUUCCGGUGAAGGCAAGUAAAACUGUGAUGGUUAUUCCGUCUGUCAGAUGAGGAGUCUUAUACUUGAUUAUGUUGUGCUAUUGUGUUCAUAUUCAUAUUUUUUUUGAGUACCAUCAUUUGAAAAUGUUCAUGUUUCAUGGAUUUCAUAUGUUGAGUUUGAGGUUUGAUUAUGUUACUCAAGUGGUUAUUAUGUGGAAUGGGUGGAAGUAUAUGUCUAGCACAUUUUAUUUGGGAAGAACUCAUGAUGUUGUCAUGCAUAAUGCACUCAUCAUCCAUUGCAUUGAAGUUUUGUCGCGAUCUUAUGGUCCGACCGUACCGGUACAUUGAGCAUCAUAUGUUGCCCGAGAAGGGGUAUGAUGCAGCUUCAUAUCCUUAGAGAUAUGGAGGCAGAAGUCAUUAUUGCAUCUGUAGCCAUAUGCAUUCAUGAGAGAGGUGUGGAAUCUAUUAUGUGGGUGUGGAUAAUCUGGACUUGUGCAUGGCGAUUCUUCUUGGCAUUAAGUAUUUAGUUACUUGUUUACUUGCUGCAAUUUAAUGUUCAAAAAGGAAGUUUUGAACCACGUGGUUGUUUAAGUACAGUUGAUUUACAAUGUCCAAUUUAUUGUUGCUAUGUUUACUUGCUGAGAUGAGUCAUCUCACAUCUUGCAUUGUUUGAUGCAGGCACCUAAUUUUCUGCUUUUGGGAAAAGAGGGAUGUAGCAGCCCGGCCACUACACCUUUAAUAAAGGAACCACCACUUAAUAAUGUUGUUAAUCAGAGAGGGUCAAGUCUAGUGAAUUACUUUGUUCUUGGUUGAGUGUUUGUUUUGGGGUGGGCUGAGUUCCUUAUCUCAUUUAUUUUGCUUCUGUUGGGUCAUGAAUGUGUCUUACCACCUUUGCAUUUAGAUUCUACUACGUGAAUUAUCUGUCUUUAUAUCCUGUAUGAAUUACAUGUUUCCCCUCCAUGUUAUGCUAGUUUCAAAGAAGGUGCUGCCGGA